rnacentral:misc_RNA from 1 species
UAAUAAUUAUAGUAUUCACAAUACUCAACAAUGGGCAGAGAUAUCAAAUUACAAGCGCAAAAAAAAUUUGAAACAAAUAAAUGUUCACAAAAAUUGAACACAUUCAUUUGUCGUCGAUUUUUCAUUGAUUUCAUGAAGCGAGUAAGGAAGAGAGAACAAUAAAGAUGAGAUGAGGAAAAGAGAGGCGAUAAACGAUUGUAUUGUACUGUAUCGCAAAUGAAUAUAUAAAAUUCUGUAUUAGAACUUGAAUCCGGGAACCUGUCGGGAAGCUGUCACUUUGCCGCCUCAGCCACUCUCCUUUAAUUUGGUUGUCACAACAAUAGAAAUGGCGACAUAUACUCCAGGGGAAUAUGUCGAUAUGAUUAUUACAUACGGAAUAGCCGAAGAAAAUUCCAAUGACGCGGCUCGUAUUUACGCGGAGCGAUUUCCUGAUCGUGACCAACAUCCGGACAGUAAGACAAUUUUAAGGUGUGUUAAACGUGCAAAAGAAACAGGAGAUCUAAGAGUCUCAGAGCGGGAAAAUGCUGAUGCCGACGAAGAAAGAAUUCUACGAGAGUUUAAAGAACAUCCCAACAGCAGUGUACGUGGUGUGGCU